rnacentral:piRNA from 1 species
UGGAAUUCAUAGCCACUAUGCCUCAAGAUC